UGUAAACUGAUGAAACCCGUCAAGAAAAAUAUCCGAAGACUGAAGAGGAAAUUUGAUAAAGAACGACGAAUAUGGAGCUCACUCAGUGACAUGCGUAAACGUCAGUUAGUGGAGACAACUCGUAAACAAAUCGACAGCUUUCUACAGGAGCAGACGAAAAUGAAUGGUCAAUUCAAACAAUGGCGAAAACAACAAAAAGCUCUAAAGAAGGCAGAGAGACUCAGACAAAAGAAACUCCGCAAGAAACAGAAGAAGAAGAAAUCAAAGAAAGCAAAUGACACAACUAUGAAAGCAAUAUAUUUUCUAGCUUCAACACCACCAUACUGAAUGCCGUGUAGCCAUAGUAUUGGAGAAAACGUGAAUAUAGCAACGGUCAUCUAUUAAACUUCACACGUCCAUUGCAGUGCUUGUACACGUCUGAAAGUGUACGUAAGUGUCGAGACUUCGAGGCUGAAGUGGUACUUAAAACAAUUCAUAUGACAGCUCAGCAAGAAAUAUGAAAAGAAAUGUGCCUUCUGAGGAUUUACAAUUGACUUCUUGUAUUCAAAGCCUUGAAGGCGACAUGUUCUCACGGAAACGUGACUCCUUUGAUUCAUUAGCGAACGUGAUGUGGAACUGUCAUUUUAACUCUUGAUUUGAGUUUCAUUUCUAGGAUGUAUUAUUCACCGAGACUGUUAUCUUCUGAUUCCCAAAAAAUAUCUCAUUGUUAGUCCCCUUUUUUGAACUGUACAUAGAAUAAUACUGAAAACUUAAGAGAUUGAUAAAAUUACUGGUAAAGUAAAAAUGAUUAUAACAAGCUUU
rnacentral:misc_RNA from 1 species